AUUGAACGCUGGCGGCAUGCCUUACACAUGCAAGUCGAACGGUAACAGGUCUUCGGAUGCUGACGAGUGGCGAACGGGUGAGUAAUACAUCGGAACGUGCCUAGUAGUGGGGGAUAACUACUCGAAAGAGUGGCUAAUACCGCAUGAGAUCUACGGAUGAAAGCAGGGGAUCGCAAGACCUUGUGCUACUAGAGCGGCCGAUGGCAGAUUAGGUAGUUGGUGGGAUAAAAGCUUACCAAGCCGACGAUCUGUAGCUGGUCUGAGAGGACGAUCAGCCACACUGGGACUGAGACACGGCCCAGACUCCUACGGGAGGCAGCAGUGGGGAAUUUUGGACAAUGGGCGAAAGCCUGAUCCAGCAAUGCCGCGUGCAGGAUGAAGGCCUUCGGGUUGUAAACUGCUUUUGUACGGAACGAAAAGCUCUGGGUUAAUACCCUGGGGUCAUGACGGUACCGUAAGAAUAAGCACCGGCUAACUACGUGCCAGCCGCCGCCGUAAAAC
rnacentral:rRNA from 1 species